CUGAAUAUUCAUGUAUAGGCAAAAUAAAGGUGACAGCUGUUUCCCUAUCAGACCCUGAAAUGUAACACUGUAUGUUUUAUUACUAAGCAGGUCGCUGAGCUGGCGCUAACCUUUUCAAGGAGACCUGUUGCUAAAAAUCAGCAGUCCUCGGAGAGUGCCAAUAAGGCUUGUUAUUUUUGAGUGUUUCGUUAUUAAGACAACAGGAAUCGUGACCAACCGAUCCAACCACAUUCAGGACCAAUAGCACAAUACUACAAAGAUGCAGAGAAAUGAAAGUGAAAUAAAUAUGCCAGCAAGCCUAAGGCUAGCAGCAAUUUCCAGCAACUUCCGAACAAGAUCAGUACCAAGAAGUUGCAGCUGAAUGUCCCUUCAGGAAUCGCAGGAAGUACAGGAGACCCAGAACGUAUCAUCCUCGACGCCAUUCCCUCCAGAUGAGUGAGGUGCAAAUUUCAGAAGGAUCAGUCGGGAAUUUGAAAUGUUGCUAAAACAACGUGAUUCUAUGAGCAAAAGCAUCUUCUCAAUGUACUAACCCCAUAUGUGGAUGAAAAAUUCAUACCAGCUGAAUCUUUACCAUACCAAUCAUUAUGUGCUGCCCGGAAAAGCUGAUGAUGUCAACUUGUUUUGAAAUGUUCUGUGAUUUAUCACCAAUGCUGCCGGACCUGCUGAGCUUUUGAAGGGAAGGAGGGGUCCCAGCCCUCCCAUUUUCCCCACCACUAUCUGCCCGACGGGUAACACAGAGUGUGUACGUCGGACUUGUUAG